GAUAAACGCUGGCGGCGUGCUUAACACAUGCAAGUCGAACGAAGUUUUUCCUUCGGGAGACACUUAGUGGCGGACGGGUGAGUAACGCGUGGGUAACCUGCCCUGUACAGGGGGACAACAGCUGUAAACGGCUGCUAAUACCGCAUAAGCCCUUAGCACUGCAUGGUGCAUAGGGAAAAGGAGCAAUCCGGUACAGGAUGGACCCGCGUCUGAUUAGCCAGUUGGCAGGGUAACGGCCUACCAAAGCGACGAUCAGUAGCCGAUCUGAGAGGAUGUACGGCCACAUUGGGACUGAGACACGGCCCAGACUCCUACGGGAGGCAGCAGUGGGGAAUAUUGCACAAUGGAGGAAACUCUGAUGCAGCGACGCCGCGUGAGUGAAGAAGUAUUUCGGUAUGUAAAGCUCUAUCAGCAGGGAAGAAAAUGAUGGUACCUGACUAAGAAGCACCGGCUAAAUACGUG
rnacentral:rRNA from 1 species